rnacentral:piRNA from 1 species
UUUGUAUCCAGAAGAGGGUGUCCACG